rnacentral:tRNA from 1 species
AUCUUUCUAGUACAAAGUAAGUAUUUGUGACUUCCAAUCACCAGAUCUUGGUUAAAAUCCAAGGAAAGAUA